UACGUAGGGUGCAAGCGUUAAUCGGAAUUACUGGGCGUAAAGCGUGCGCAGGCGGUUGUGUAAGACAGAUGUGAAAUCCCCGGGCUCAACCUGGGAACUGCAUUUGUGACUGCACAGCUGGAGUGCGGCAGAGGGGGGAUGGAAUUCCGCGUGUAGCAGUGAAAUGCGUAGAUAUGCGGAGGAACACCGAUGGCGAAGGCAGCCCCCCUGGGCUAACACUGACGCCUCAGGCACGAAAGCGUGGGGGAGCAACAGGAUUAGAACCUACCGAGUCAGA
rnacentral:rRNA from 1 species